GUGGGCUUACUCUGGCAACACAUAUUCUAAAAUUAGAACCAUACAAGGAAGAUUAGCAUGGCACCAGAGCAAGAACGACAUGCAAAUUCACGAAGCAUUCCAUAUUUUU